rnacentral:tRNA from 1 species
GGCCAUAUAGCUCAGUGUAGAGCACAUGCUUAGCAGGCAGGAGGUCCUGGAUUCCAUCCCCAGUACCUCCA